rnacentral:pre_miRNA from 1 species
GUAUUAGGUUGGCACAAAAGUAAUUGCAGUUUUUGCCACUACUUUUAACGGCAAAAACUGCAAUCACUUUUGCACCAACCUAAUAGAUU